rnacentral:lncRNA from 1 species
CGGCCGGGUGGUCCUCCUGGGUGCCUCAGGGGCCCGGGGAGCAUGGGUCAGGGCGAGUGGCUGCUCCCUGGCCUCAGGUUAUCUGGGUGCCCGGUGAGUGAGGCAUGGCAGGCGAUACCGGACCCCACCCACCGCGUAUACCUCUGGAAUAGCGAUUGCCAUGAUUGAUGUCAGUAGCCUGGGCUGGGAGCCUGCAGGUAAUCAGAACUGCGAAGAUGAUUGGGUCACAGCCAGGAGACUGAUUUUGUAUCCAGAAGUUUCUGUUUCACAAUCACUAAACUACUCAUGCUCAAAGAUUAGUGUCAACAAGAAAUAAACAGACUCUGAUACCGAUAUAAAAUGAACGCGCGUUCAAGAUUUCCUUCAACUCAUUGUUAGCGCAGAAACCGGUAAGAUGUGCCAGCCAGGUCAAAGGAGAAGUGACAAAGGCACCUGUGUACGCGGAGUAAAGGGAUACAGGCUACAACUGAAAACACCAGUCAUAUUACCAAGGCUGUGACCGAAAUCGUGUCUCUGAGAAUGUGCCUCAAGCGUUCCAAGCCUGGCCGGCCGCGCUGGCUCACGCCUAUCAUCCCAGCACUUUGGGAGGCUGAGGAGUUCACCAAACCAUCCAAUGCCAUAACCACAGACAUUUCACCUGCAAACCAGGCAGAGAAGCUGGCGUUUUCACACUGUAGCCAGGGCUUCCAGUUCAUCG